CCCUUAGAUGUUCUGGGCCGCACGCGCGCUACACUGAUGCAGUCAACAAGUAUAUUAUCCUAGGUUGAAAAAUCUGGGUAAUCUUUUGAAACUGCAUCGUGCUGGGGCUUGACGAUUGCAAUUAUUUGUCACAAACGAGGAAUUCCUAGUAAACGCAAGUCAUCAUCUUGCAUUGAUUACGUCCCUGCCCUUUGUACACACCGCCCGUCGCACCUACCGAUUGAACGUUCCGGUGAGACCUUGGGAUUUGGUCUUUGGUACUUUAUUGUGCCGUUGACCGAAAAACUUGAGCAAACCUUAACGUUUAGAGGAAGGUGAAGUCGUAACA
rnacentral:rRNA from 1 species